rnacentral:misc_RNA from 1 species
AACCUUAUGGACCUGCGGGCGUAUACCUGCGGAGGGAUCAUUACAAGUGACCCCGGUCUAACCACCGGGAUGUUCAUAACCCUUUGUUGUCCGACUCUGUUGCCUCCGGGGCGACCCUGCCUUCGGGCGGGGGCUCCGGGUGGACACUUCAAACUCUUGCGUAACCUUGCAGUCUGAGUAAACUUAAUUAAUAAAUUAAAACUUUCAACAACGGAUCU